UACGUAGGGGGCUAGCGUUGUCCGGAAUCAUUGGGCGUAAAGCGCGUGUAGGCGGCCCGGUAAGUCCGCUGUGAAAGUCGGGGGCUCAACCCUCGGAUGCCGGUGGAUACUGUCGGGCUAGAGUCCGGAAGAGGCGAGUGGAAUUCCUGGUGUAGCGGUGGAAUGCGCAGAUAUCAGGAGGAACACCGAUGGCGAAGGCAGCUCGCUGGGACGGUACUGACGCUGAGGCGCGAAAGCGUGGGGAGCGAACAGG
rnacentral:rRNA from 1 species